CAUAUGAACCAGGGGUGCUGGAAUAACGGCCGGCUGAGAGUGUAUCCCGCAAAGAUACUGACCCUUAUACCUGAUCUGGAUAAUGCCAGCGUAGGAAUGACAUCGCCGUGCAGC
rfam:Paenibacillus stellifer strain DSM 14472, complete genome.